AAAGAAGGGUCACAAUCAGCCUGUCUGUAAAUGCUGCAAGGAUUCUGGGUGAGCAAUCUUCCACAAGAUGUUGACAACGGAUGCUCAUUGGAGAAACAAUGCAGACAGGAUCAAGCCCCAAGGUUACAUGGGAUAAGAGGAAAAUAUGCAUCAUUUACCCCUCCUGAUAGCCUACUAGCGCAAACUCAUUGGAACGGUAAGCAU